ACCCCGGAGGAGCGGCCUGCUGGCGUCCCCAGCACCCUGGAGUUGAGGAUGUCCUCCAAACCCAUCACGCCUGCCCCCAGCAGCACCCCCGGCUCCAGCAUCCCGGGGCCGGGUACCCCGGUCCCUACAGGAAGCGUCCCGUCGCUGUGGGGCUCAGUGCCAGGAGCCGCUGCCCCUUUCAGACAGCUGUUUAGCGACUUUGGACCGCCUUCUAUCGGCUGUGUGCAGGCCAUGAAACCACCUGGCGCCCAGGGCUCCCACAGCACCCACAGGGAACUGCUGUCGGUCACAGGGGAGAUGGGCAAAGGGAUCUGAACCACCUACGCUGGCAUCAAGAGCACCACGGAGCACCUGAAGAGAGGGAUCAUCCAUCCCUAGUCAGAGUGCCUGGCAGAGACAGGGCGGAAUGCCCGCAUUUACCAGGAAGCUCCUAAGCCUCCGUGUCUGGACUUUUCCCGGCCACUCCAGAGCACCUGCUUCUCCCUGGCCCUCAUCCCUAGUUGCACUAACCAUCCUGGGCUUCCUGUCCUGUGUCCCUUGAUGCGUGUCCUCCAGGAACCAAGGGGCGGCUCUCACUCCAGGUGGCAGCGCUAACGAUUCCCCCUCCCCCCAUCCCACCCCACCAACGCAACAAGAGUUAGCAGUGAGGUCCCCGUGAGUCCCACCCAUG